rnacentral:lncRNA from 1 species
AUGAAUAAAAACAAUACACUGUACUGUCGUGUUUACAUCAGAAAUGCAUUCUUCUCUGAGAUAGGCAUCGUGAUCCCAGCCAAAAGCUUCCUUCUCCUCUUCCAUACCUUCAUGUUCAUUUGUGGGCACAGGGCCAGACUCACUGACUUGCCCAUUGGUCUCAUGGCCCUAAUACACCUAGUGAUGCUGUUACUUGCAACAUAUAUAACCAGGAACUUUUUUAUGUCUUCAGGAGGAUGGGAUGACAUCACAUGUAAACUAUUCAUUUUCUUGCACAGGUUUUUCAGGAGCCUCUCUGUUUGUGCCACCUGCCUGUUGAGUAUCUACCAGGCCAUUAUCCUCUGCUCUCAAAGCUCUCACUUAGCAAAGUUCAAACACAAUUCCCCACAACAGCUCUUAUGUUUCUUUAUUUUACUGAGUAUCUUCUACAAAUCCAUCAGCAGUCAUACCUUCAUAGCAGGUAUUGCCCCAGGAAAUAUCAGCUCAAUUAAUCUUAUAUAUAUCAUGAAAUAUUGCUCUUUUCUACCCAUGAGUUCCUCAAUGCAGCACACCUUUUCUACACUGCUGGUUUUCAGGAAUGUCUUGCUUAUUGGUCUCAUGUGCCUCUCAACUUGCUACAUGGUGAUUCUCUUGUGCAGGCAUAAGACCCAGUCCCAGUGCCUUCAGAAAUUAAACCUUUCUCCAAAAGCAACGCCAGAGCAAAGAGCUCUGUGAACCAUUCUAAUGCUUAUGACCUUCUUUCUGGUGAUAUCAUGUUUUGACAGCAUCACAUCCUAUUCAAGUAUGAUAUUCCAGGAAAAUUCAUCGAUAUAUUGUGUCCAGAUUCUUGUAGCCCAUAGCUAUGCUUUGGUCAGUCCUCUGCUGGUUCUCAGUAAUGAAAAACAUAUAUAUAACCCAUUGAUAUCCAUGUAUGAGAUGAUAGUAAAGUUUGAUUUUCUGUGA